AUCCUCUCGCCUCAGCUGCCGAGUAGCUGGAACUACAGGGGAUUCUUUGGGAAGAUAAGAUCUCCAAAAUUUAGUCUUCAGUUGCAUCUGCAGAAUGCACUUAGUACAUGUUUAGUCAAUUCAAUGUUCGUUGGUGAAUUUGGCCAGCAAAAGAGAAUGUGAAUGCACAGUGCAUGAUGGUGGACUGAGCUUUGGACAUCAACAGGGGAAUAAAAAUCAGUUCAGCUCUUGCUAAAAUAGUUUUCCAUUGUCUGAAUCAGAACUGAGCACAAAUGAGUCA